GCCUGGACCUCCUAGGCUCAAUGGAUCCUCCUGUCCGGACCUCCUGAGUAGCUGGGACUACAGGCAUGCACCACAGCGCCAGGCCAAUUUUUGUAUUUUUCUGUAGAGAUGGGGUUUCGCCAUGUGACCCAGGCUGGACUCAUCUUUUGCUCUCAGUGAGAUGGGGAAGCGUUGCAGAGUGUUGAGCCAAGGAGCGACAGGAUCCGACCUACCUUUGUAAAAGGUGCCUCAGGCUACUGUGUGGAGAACCCACUUCGGGGAGUCAAGGGAGGAGGGUGUUGCAGUAACCGGGUGAGAGAUGAUGAGGACAUAGACCAAGAUGACUGUGGGGGAGCAGGCUCAAACCGCUGUCCUAUUGAUGGGUCCCAUGCUGCCUUCCAACAUGUAAAGGAUGAAGGGACACCACAGGAUGGAAUAUGAGGAUCAGAGCUUUGCCCAUCGUGGACCUGCAUUUAAGAAGCUGAACCAUGAGAGUCUUCAUGGAUGAACACCAUGGUGAUGGGAUGUGUACCUCUGGGAGCCUUGGUACUAAGCUUCUGACAUCAUCCUGUGGCCUGGGCCCCAAGGAAUGGCCACUCCCUCCUACCCCUGCUGCACUUGAUCAGCUGUGAAUAAGCAUCCCAAGCCCCUUGCUUUGUGGCCACCUGUGGGAAGGGCUACUGAGGAGCCAACUUCAGGUAAGAAGUCGUAUAGGUGGAGUGAUGGCCCUGGG
rnacentral:lncRNA from 1 species